ACACAUGCAAGUCGAGGGAGAAGCCUUCGGGCUGAAACCGGCGCACGGGUGCGUAACGCGUAUACAAUCUGCCUUUCACAUAGGGAUAGCCCGAAGAAAUUUGGAUUAAUACCUAAUGGUAUAUAGGAGCGGCAUCGUUUUUAUAUUAAAGCUACGGUGGUGAAAGAUGAGUAUGCGUUCUAUUAGCUAGUUGGAGAGGUAACGGCUCCCCAAGGCGACGAUAGAUAGGGGUUCUGAGAGGGAUGUCCCCCACACUGGUACUGAGAUACGGACCAGACUCCUACGGGAGGCAGCAGUGAGGAAUAUUGGACAAUGGUCGGAAGACUGAUCCAGCCAUGCCGCGUGCAGGAUGAAGGUCCUAUGGAUUGUAAACUGCUUUUGUAAGGGAAGAAUAAGGGGUACGUGUACUUUGAUGACGGUACCUUACGAAUAAGCAUCGGCUAACUCCGUGCCAGCAGCCGCGGUAAUACGGAGGAUGCGAGCGUUAUCCGGAAUCAUUGGGUUUAAAGGGUCUGUAGGCGGGCUAAUAAGUCAGAGGUGAAAGCGUUCAGCUCAACUGAGCAACUGCCUUUGAAACUGUUAGUCUUGAAUGAUUGUGAAGUAGUUGGAAUGUGUAGUGUAGCGGUGAAAUGCUUAGAUAUUACACAGAACACCGAUAGCGAAGGCAUAUUACUAACAAUUUAUUGACGCUGAUGGACGAAAGCGUGGGGAGCGAACAGGAUUAGAUAUCCUGGUAGUCCACGCUGUAAACGAUGGAUACUAGCUGUUUGGAGCAAUCUGA
rnacentral:rRNA from 1 species